rnacentral:miRNA from 1 species
CAAGAAAUUAAACAUUGUUAU